GUCAGUGUGGUGUAGGGGAUUGAAUGACAGGCUAUGACUCUGCAGACCAGAGUUUGAAUCCCUGCUCAGCCA